CCCUUAGAUGUCCUGGGCCGCACGCGCGUUACACUGAUGCAUUCAACGAGCUUAUAACCUUGGCCGAGAGGCCUGGGCAAUCUUGUUAACGUGCAUCGUGAUAGGGAUAGAUUAUUGAAAUUAUUAAUCUUGAACGAGGAAUUCCUAGUAAACGCAGAUCAUCAAUCUGCAUUGAUUACGUCCCUGCCCUUUGUACACACCGCCCGUCGUACCUACCGAUUGGAUGGUCCGGUGAAGCCUCGGGAUUGUGGUUCUUGCCGCUUUAUUGUGGCGUGACCGCGAGAACUUGUCUAAACCUGAUCAUCUAGAGGAAGGUGAAGUCGUAACA
rnacentral:rRNA from 1 species